GAUGAACGCUGGCGGCGUGCCUAAUACAUGCAAGUCGAGCGAACGGACGAGAAGCUUGCUUCUCUGAUGUUAGCGGCGGACGGAUGAGUAACACGUGGAUAACCUACCUAUAAGACUGGGAUAACUUCGGGAAACCGGAGCUAAUACCGGAUAAUAUUUUGAACCGCAUGGUUCAAAAGUGAAAGACGGUCUUGCUGUCACUUAUAGAUGGAUCCGCGCUGCAUUAGCUAAUUGGUAAGGUAACGGCUUACCAAGGCAACGAUGCAUAGCCGACCUGAGAGGGUGAUCGGCCACACUGGAACUGAGACACGGUCCAGACUCCUACGGGAGGCAGCAGUAGGGAAUCUUCCGCAAUGGGCGAAAGCCUGACGGAGCAACGCCGCGUGAGUGAUGAAGGUCUUCGGAUCGUAAAACUCUGUUAUUAGGGAAGAACAUAUGUGUAAGUAACUGUGCACAUCUUGACGGUACCUAAUCAGAAAGCCACGGCUAACUACGUG
rnacentral:rRNA from 1 species